rnacentral:rRNA from 1 species
GAUUAACGCUAGCGGCAGGCUUAAUACACGCAAGUCGAACGGCAGCGGGUCCAGCAAUGGAUGCCGGCGAGUGGCGCACGGGUGCGUAACGCGUAUACAAUCUACCUUUAACUGGGGGAUAGCCCCGAGAAAUCGGGAUUAAUACCCCAUAAUAUUGAGAGGUGGCAUCACUUUUCAAUUAAAGCUCCGGCGGGUUUAGAUGAGUAUGCGUGACAUUAGCUAGUUGGUGAGGUAACGGCUCACCAAGGCGACGAUGUCUAGGGGUUCUGAGAGGAUUUUCCCCCACACUGGUACUGAGACACGGACCAGACUCCUACGGGAGGCAGCAGUAAGGAAUAUUGGGCAAUGGGCGCAAGCCUGACCCAGCCAUGCCGCGUGAAGGAUGACAGCCCUAUGGGUUGUAAACUUCUUUUGUACGGGAAAAAACCCCCGGUCGUGAACCGGGGCUGAUGGUACCGUAAGAAUAAGCAUCGGCUAACUCCGUGCCAGCAGCCGCCGUAACAC